rnacentral:lncRNA from 1 species
CAUAAAUAAAAAAGAAAAUUUCUUCAAACAUUUUUUUGAGAGGAUUAAUAUUCAACAGCAUAGUGAAUUGCUCUAAGAGAAAACAAAAAUUUUAAGUUCAUUAGAACACAUUCAUUCUGUGUCAGAAACCUAUGCUGUGUGUCAACUAUUUAAUCACAAUCCAAAUUUAGAGCUGAAUCCAGCUUGAAUGUUGUGUCCAUACUUGCCCCAACCGUUCAGGGUUCAACCUCUGCGGUCGUAUAAAACUACGCCCUGCGGAGCAUCUGGUUAUCAUUUAAACU